CAUAGUGUUGCGCGAAUAAUUGUAUCCCCUGUUUUAACCACUUAAACAUUGUUUGCUUUAAAGACCAUAGAAAAGAGUAAGAGAGGUGUUGUACGGAAGCAGAGCUCUGGAGCGUGAGGACAGACACUGACUGUAAUGAUGGACACGUGCUGAAGGACGGGAGGAAGACAAGCAUCAAGCGAUUUCCAGUGGAUGCCAUGACCUCCUCCAGGACAGCUGAAAGCAGCACAUCAUGCACAAGCUGUGGAAUCGUCUGAAUCCUUUCUGUCGCAGAGCAGUGGGACUUUCUACUGCAGUUCUCUUUGAGACCACA